rnacentral:miRNA from 1 species
GACGUCGAUAUUCGACGUCAUAAGCACGAUCAACUUUGGUGUUUAUGACGUCGAAUAUCGACGUCAAAAACACGAUCAACUUUGGUGUUUAUGACGUCGAUAUUCGACGUCAUAAACACGAUCAACUUUGGUGUUUAUGACGUCGAUAUUCGACGUCAUAAACACGAUCAACUUUGGUGUUUAUGACGUCGAUAUUCGACGUCAUAAACAUGAUCAACUUUGGUGUUUAUGACGUCGAUAUUCGACGUC